rnacentral:rRNA from 1 species
AAGGGCACCACAAGAACGCGUGGAGCAUGUGGCUUAAUUUGACUCAACGCGGGAAAUCUUACCGGGUCCGGACACACUGAGGAUUGACAGGCAAUCAUGUGAAUUGUUUUUUUUAUUUUUUUUAAUUAUAAAAAAAGCAUUCACAUAUAAAUAUGCUAGUCCUUUCAUGAUUAUGUGAUAGGUGGUGCAUGGCCGUUCUUAGUUCGUGGAGUGAUCUGUCUGCUUAAUUGCGUUUCAUACUGGACUUAGAAAUCAAGUGUGUUUAUUUUUCUUGUACAUGUUUUUUUUUUUUUUWAAUUUNAAAAGGUAUCUNGUWCCCCCWUUUWUUGGGGNGGNGUUCCNUUUWAGGUUUUUUUUUUUAUAAAUUAAAAUAAUUCAUGUUACUUUAAUUAGAUAAAUAAAUACAUAUCUAGUCCUGAAAGCAACGAACGUGACCGCAUCCUCUUGUUGCCUUUUAACUUAAAACUUUUUUUUUAUUUUUUUUUAAUUUAUUUUUUAAAACGUUUUAUAACAUAAGAGGCUUUCUUAAAACUAGAGGGACCGCUGCGACUUUUUUAAACCAGAGGAAGGUUGCGGCAAUAACAGGUCUGUGAUGCCCUUAGAUGUUCCGGGCUGCACACGUGCUACAAUGAUUAUUGCAGUGAGCAUCUCAUUUACAGCACUGUUUUUUCAUUUUUUUUUUAUUUUUUUUAUUUAAUUUUUAAAGAUGAGCAGUCAAAGCCUGCUUCGAAAGUUCGCAGGUAAUCAAUUGGAAGUAAUGAUUUCCCUUAACUCAAAUUUGUUUUUGAUUUUGUGAGCACACAAUAUGCUGCUCCCUUCCCUGGCAUUUAGCUAAUUUUUGUCUAUUUGUCAUUGUGUGUGGGGAUGUUUUCAGCAUGUGCUUUUUGUCAAUUCAUGGUGGGGACAGACCAUUGUUAAUUGUUGGUCUCGGUCUCAACUAGGAAUGCCUUGUACGGGUCUUUGGUUCAACAAACCACCCGGAAUACGUCCCUGCCCUUUGUACACACCGCCCGUC